GCGGUAUGGCAAGGUGUCCGCGGUUUUGGUCCUGAACGUUGAAAUGGAACGCAAAACGCAACUCAUAGUUUUUUGCUCUGGCUACUGGCAGUUUACAACACUCCAGCUCGCCAUGCCAACUGCUAGUCAGCAGCCAGAUCAGCAGCCCAAUCCUUACGCAAAAGUGAAGAAUAAUCCCUUGGUGAAGACGACUUCGAGACCAGUGGAGGAUGGCUCCAGAGAGUUGAGGACCAUUACUGAGUCAUCUACCAAGAGACUGUGCGCGAAAGUGGCACUACGGACAGCACUGGCAAGGAGGCAUGGCUAGAACACUUUCAGGACAUCUUUCAAAUGUACGCAGAAAGAUGCACUGAUGAUGGCAAGGAACGGGGCUGUACCAGCUCCUAUCUUUGGCAUCGCAUGCCCUUAAAGUGGAAGACUGCACAGGAGGAAAGCAUAGCCAGGAGUGGAUGACAUUUUUCUUUUCCGAAUUCUUUGAUUGGUAUCGAUUGAAAAAUUGAAAAACCCCGUGGCUUUACAAAUCCCACGUCUAUCCCGAUUCAUAAUGACCACAAUCAGGAAGCUUGGAUGAUCCACAUGCCAUUCAGGGAGUGGCUUGAGGAACUGGACUGUAAUAUGCGAAAUAAGCAAAGGUAACGCUGCUGCGUCAUAACUGUACAGCCCACCAUGUGAACGUUGAUCUGACGUUCAUGGAAGUUCUCUUUCUGCCACCAAACACCACUGCAGGUCUCCAACUCAUGGAUAUGGGCAUGGUUGUCAACCUGGCAGUUUUGUAAGCUUGAUUUGUUUUGAUGGCGUGUGUAGGGAACAGAUGACCAGAUGUCAGAGAGAAAUGUGUACCGUUUAAUGCCGACGAAUCGAUUGGCCAAAUGCCCAACCUAACAUCGAAUGAAAGGCAAACAAACAUCCGCAACAACACCUUGCGGCUUGUCUUGUGCUCCUGUUGUCGUCUUCGUAAGAUUUCUCACAGGCGUGUUGUCAUCCGAAUGAUCUUCAACAUCGACAGGAGUAAUCUUAUGAAGAUCAGGAUAUUUUGCCAUCAGUUAUAUGUGGUACUGCAUUUUGCAAAAUCAAUGUUUUGAAAGAUUUCAUUGCGGAACAGAGACUUUCUGCACAGCUUGUUACACAGCUGGAAGCAAUUGACGCAGGAUACUGUGAAGCUCACGACUACCCGAAGCAAUCCAAGUUAUUUUAAAUAAACAUUGAUACUUCA